GUACUUUUAGCUAGACCUACCAGUAAUAUUUCGCUUGAGGGCAUUCUCCGAUAUAUCGAGCGGGAUGAUGCUUGGUGGACGUGUACAUACUAAUGUGAUGCACCUUAGCCACACCGAGGUGGACGACAAACCUAACUCUACU